GUUUGCUGGGUGGUGGUCGGACCCCCGUUUGAGAUACGGUCCUCCUCCAUGGCGGCAUUUGAAAAUGAAAUUCGUGGUAAAGAGUUAUUGGCGUACGUACGCCCUGGGGACCCAGGGUGGUAUACCGCAUCGGAGGAAUGGUUCGUGGAGGAGGUGGGGUUUUGAUACCGUUUUGUUAAAAG